rnacentral:piRNA from 1 species
UGGCCUGCCUGUCUCUCUAGCCAGAAAC